rnacentral:lncRNA from 1 species
GCCUUAAUAUCUGUAACCUUUAAUAAAUUCAAGAUAAAUUUUCUUGUCCCAGCUGUUAAUUUAGUAACUUCCAAACCUAAAUAAAACUUCAUUUCUCCCAGAUCUUUGAUAACAAAAAUUAUGAGAUUAUGAUCGAGAAUUAUCAAUUCGACUAAUCUCAUACAAUAGAGGCUGCAAAAUUAAGCUAAUUAAGUAGGUAAAAAGAAAUUUGCAGAAGAACUUUGAUCUGAGCUCCGAUCUCCGAUCUCCGAUACCAUAUUAUUGUGAAUUUAGUUGAUGGAGCAACAAGGUGCAUGGUCGUAGGUCUGAGGAAGGAAACUUUAAAUCUCUCAUCAUUUCUAUUAUGAAUAUUACAAUGGAGCUCAGACACUAUAUAUUACAAUGCUGAGUUAUAUAUCUAUAUAACUCCACAAACUAAUUAACUAAUAACUAGAGUUGCUUAGUUGACACUUAACUAUAGUAACAACCUAGCUAAUCAUAUCAUAUAUACCGGUACAAAGUUUGUAAAGAGCUGGCUUGGCUGGUGUGCCAUUGCCACAUUACUUGCCUGGGCUGGUGCACCUGUGUCAAUGACACACCACACCGGCCAGUUGCUGAGUUAAUUAGUUUCCUAGCUCAAUACUAGCUAGCACCCCCUUGUGGAAAUAUAUAUCCUCAAUAGUAUUGUGUGACAAAAUCUUUGCAGGAAUUGAACAACCCAAAAAUAAGCUUUAAUCCAC